rnacentral:rRNA from 1 species
UACAGAGGGUGCAAACGUUGUUCGGAAUUACUGGGCGUAAAGCGCGUGUAGGCGGCCUAGUGUGUCGGGCGUGAAAUCCCACGGCUCAACCGUGGAAGUGCACUCGAAACUGCAAGGCUGGAGUACUGGAGAGGAGGGUAGAAUGCUCGGUGUAGAGGUGAAAUUCGUAGAUAUCGAGCGGAAUACCGGUGGCGAAGGCGGCCAUCUGGACAGUCACUGACGCUGAGACGCGAAAGCGUGG